CAUGUGGGUAGAAGUGUUACUCUGUAAUCUUGUUGAAGACAACAAAAUACCGGCAAAUCCAAACACGAUAUUUUCACAAUCCACAACCCAAAACACCCGUUUGAGAAAAGCGGUGUACUUUUCGCAUGCAGCAGCAACGCGCCCCAACCUUGACAGCCGCGUCCCUGCACGCGCACGUCCUCCGCCUCCACCAAUGCGGCGCCGGCGGCGACCUCCUCCGCCGCGCCCACGCCGCAGGCCUCGUAUCCGGCGCGCUCGCCGCGUCCCUGCCCCUCGCCGGCGCGCUGCUCCUCUCCUACGCCGCGCUCUCCGACCUCGCCUCCUCCCGCCUCCUCCUCUUCCACCACCCUCUCCGCCUCCGCUCCGCCUUCCUCUGGAACUCGCUCUCCCGCGCGCUCUCCUCGGCCUCCCUCCCCACCGAAGCCCUGCUUGUUUACAACCACAUGCUCCGCUCGGGCGUGAGCCCCGACGACCGCACCUUCCCCUUCGCCCUCCACGCCGCGGCUGCCGCCGCUCAGGCGCACCCUGCCAAGGGUCUCGAGCUCCACGCCGCCGCGCUCCGUAGCGGCCACCUCGCGGAUGUCUUCGCGGGCAACACGCUCGUCGCGUUCUAUGCUGCCUGCGGCCAUGCCGGUGACGCGCGCAGGGUGUUUGAUGAAAUGCCGGCUCGGGACGUCGUCUCGUGGAACUCCCUUGUCUCGUCUUUCCUGGCUAACAAGAUGUUCGAUGAUGCGAGGCAGGCGUUGUUGAGUAUGAUGCGGAGCGGGGUCCCUGUGAAUGUGGCAAGCUUGGUCUCCGUUGUGCCUGCUUGUGGUGUGGAGCAGGAGGGUGGUUUUGGAUUGGGUGUGCAUGGGCUCGUGCUAAAAACUGGGCUGGACUCCAUAGUCAAUCUUGGGAAUGCAUUGGUUGAUAUGUACGGAAAGUUCGGUCACGUGGAGGCAUCGAUGAAGGUGUUUGAAGGAAUGCCAGAGAGAAAUGAGGUUUCUUGGAAUUCUGCAAUAGGUUGUUUUCUAAAUGCCGGCCUUUAUGGAGAUGUGCUGGCCUUGUUUAGGGGAAUGUCAGAGCGGGGAUUCAUGCCAGGGUCCAUCACAUUGUCAAGUUUGCUGCCUGCUUUGGUCGAGCUUGGUUAUUUUGAUUUGGGGAGGGAGGUACAUGGCUAUAGUAUAAAGAGAGCUAUGGAAUUGGAUAUUUUUGUUGCUAACUCACUUGUGGAUAUGUAUGCCAAAUUUGGUUCUUUGGAGAAAGCAUGCGCUGUCUUUGAAAAGAUUGAGGUACGCAAUGUGGUGUCAUGGAAUGCAAUGAUCGCUAAUCUCGUGCAGAAUGGAGCUGAGUCUGAGGCAUUCGGGCUUGUUAUCAAGAUGCAAAAGGAUGGGGAAUGCCCAAAUUCAAUCACCCUGGUGAAUUUGCUUCCAGCUUGCUCAAGGAUGGCCUCUCUAAAGACAGGGAAACAGAUCCAUGCAUGGUCAAUCCGUACAGGAUUAAUGUUUGAUUUAUUCAUAUCAAAUGCUCUGAUUGAUAUGUAUGCAAAGUGUGGGCAACUGAGAUUGGCACAGAGUAUUUUUGACUUGUCAGAGAAGGACGAUGUGUCAUACAACACUUUGAUUUUGGGUUAUUCUCAGAGUCCAUGGAGUUUUGAAUCUCUCAAUCUUUUUAAGCAGUUAAGUUCUGUAGGAAUUGAGUAUGAUGCCAUUUCAUUCAUGGGGGCUCUGACUGCAUGUACUAAUUUAUCUUCAUUUAAACAAGGGAAAGAAAUUCAUGGUGUUUUAGUGAGGAGAUUGCUAAGUAAUCAUCCCUUUCUGGCAAAUACGUUGCUAGGCUUGUACACUAAAGGAGGAAUGCUCGAUACUGCAUCAAAGAUCUUCAAUAGGAUUAAAGAGAAGGAUGUCGCUUCAUGGAAUAAUAUGAUCAUGGGAUAUGGGAUGCACGGUCAGAUUGAUGCUGCAUUUCAUUUGUUUGAUUUGAUGAAGGAUCAUGGUGUCACUUACGAUCAUGUAUCUUACAUUGCGGUGCUGUCGGUAUGCAGCCAUGGUGGGCUUGUUGAGAGAGGAAAGAAGUACUUCAGCCAUAUGCUUGCUCAAAAUUUAGAGCCACAACAAAUGCACUAUGCUUGCAUGGUUGAUCUUCUUGGGCGUUCUGGACAACUGACUGAAUCUGUCGAAAUAAUCCUAGACAUGCCUUUUCAUGCUAAUUCUGAUGUGUGGGGAGCACUGCUUGGGGCUUGCCGGAUACAUGGAAACAUUGAAUUAGCACAAUAUGCAGCAGAUCAUUUGUUUGAGUUGAAGCCAGAACAUUCAGGCUACUACUCAGUGCUGAGGAACAUGUAUGCUGAGGCUGGGAGGUGGAAUGAAGCGCACAAGAUCAGGACACUAAUGAAAUCCAGGAAGGUACAGAAAAAUCCAGCCUAUAGCUGGGUACAGAGUGGAAACAAGCUACAAGCUUUUCUUGUGGGGGAUGGGUAGCUGUGCUCGGAUAAGUUUAAAUCACCGGCGGUGUGCUCAGAUAAGUUUAAAUGACUGGCAGUGUGACAGAUGGAGUACUUAUAUGGUAGCACAGAAUCUUUCACUGGGAAUGAAUUGGAUAUAAAUAAAAUAUGAAAAGUUCUCCAGACUGAUAAUCCAAUACAGUAAAAGCUAGCAGUACUGUGUAGAUAAGGAGUGCAGUGGCUUGUAAGAAACUAAUUGGUGUACUUGUUAAUGGCUGCAGUAAGAAAAUUUACUCCUUGGCCUGGCAAGAAUGACAUGAAGUUGAGUUCAUGUUAAUUGACCCUACCAAUCAGCAUGUCAUGUUAUGGUAUCUACCCUAGAAAUAGAAGAGAAGUCUUGCACAACGUCAGAGAAAUUCGUAAGCCAUGAUACCUCCCUCAUCAGGUAAUUAAGAAAAGAUGAAGAGCAAUCGUUCGAGUUCAUGAAGGAGGAGAAAAAUUAAAUGAUACCAGUGGUGCAAGCUUAUAUCUACCUAACUUGAUGAUCCCUCCUCGCUGGAGCGGAAGGAGGAAGAUCAGCUACUACCGGAAUAAGGUAGAGAAAGAAAAGGAAGCCACGGAAAAGAAGCAAUACAACUUUGUUUUGAUGUUGAGGCACGGUUCAGAAUUUCAGACGAGUGGCUAUCACAAAAGCAGCUCCUUUUCCGGUUCCUGCUUGAGAAGAUGGAGCAGAUUACAGAUUGCUGUUGGUUUUUGGUCAAGCAGCACGGUGUACACAGUCAAAAUCAAUCUGAAGAGGAGCUGGCAGAAGUAAAAGAGACUGGAGUGGCAGGAGAUGAUGUGGGAAUACUGCACAAUAAUGUGAGUGCAGAUCUGUCCUCAGCUUUUUGUUAAAAUGCUGUUAUCUUCCUGGCAUCUAUCUUUAAUUCUUCAAUGUAAGAAAUGUUCGACUUUGCUUGAGCCGUAGGGUAAUAUUCUAUCUUUAAUUCUUAUUGCUGCUCAAAUCAGAUCGGCAACACCAUGCAAGAUUAAGAUCAUGAAAACACAUGGUAUAUACAUAGCUCUUGGAUCUAAAUCAAGCAACUGUUUUUGUACUUCCAUCGUACUCCAUUAAUAAGUACGUUUAAUUCUGUAUCCUGUGAGACAGAUAGAACUGUUUAACUCUUCUUUACAGGAAACUGCACCGGACUCUCAGUAUAUGGUCAUUUUUUUAGAUGAUCAGAGGCAUCGUCCCGGUCCCAACUUUCAUGGAAACUCUGGCAACCAAGUCUGAUACAAGUAUCAUUUGGUCUUACGUUUACUCCAAUUGUAUGGUCUAGCUUGGGUCUGUCACUCUUUCCGGUGAAGAUGUUGCUGAUGAGGUAAUGGUCCAAACAGAUUCAAGCAGAGGCGUACUUAUACAAUGCUACCUGGUGGAUAUGCUUCUAAAGCCGGAGGAUCGAAAUAUGACUAGGGCGGCUUGCUUCCGAUUAAAGGGAUGGUCAGGGAGCUUUUCACCCGGCAUAACUGAUAGUAUGAUCUAUGGAGAGGAGGUCAUUGGAGUUGUGCUUUUGUCAGGAGUCCAGUCAUGUGUCGACCGAUGAUUGAUUCCCUAGUUUCUUGUAACACACCUUCACCUUGUACGUCCAUCGAUUGUGACUUGUGAGGAUAAGCCAAAGCAGGUUGCCGGCCAUC